CAAAUUUAGCUCCAACAUCGAGCACCCUUCCCUGCUUGUUGCCAGCUCUAUCUGAAUAAGGACAGAAUGAGGAGGAGACAAUUAAUAUGCAUGGAACAUCUCCGUGCACUUGAGAAUCUCAAUCAAGAUCCCCUAGUCAUGUGAAGAGGCUCUGGGCACAGCAGAUAAAUCUCCUUUUCAGAUAUUUUCUCUUCCCGUGAAGAGGAGACAAUCUAAUGUGCAUGGAACAUCUCCGUGCAUGUUAGAAUCUCAAUCAAGAUCCUCCAGUCAUGUGAGGAGGCUCCGGGCACAGCAGACAAAUCUCCUUUUCAGAUAUUUUCUCUUCCCGUGGAGUCAGGAACAGGAAGUGUGGUCAGCACUUUCUACUUAUGCUUUCAGAUUAACUCUUUUCAUGAAGUGCCUGAAUAGUUGCAAGGAAUGAUCUCUUUCUCUUCCUUUCCAGGAUGGAGACAGCAUUAAUGUUGGUAAUGGAGGUAGCCCUGAGAUAUCAGGCAAUGGCAUUGGGAACAACUUCCAACCCUCAUGGGGAAACAGGGGUGACUCAAUUAAUAUUGGGGAUGGAGGCAACCCAACUAUCGAAGGCAAUGGCAUUGGGAACAACUUUGCAGCUGCACGACGAAACAGAGCCGAUGAUCCCUGGUUUGUUUGAGAAACUACAGGACAUUCACCACCUUUCCAUCAUUUCAUUUUGAACGAAUUUCACCAAGUUAAGCUUUCUGUUGUGACAGAUUUUCCCAAAUAAAGAAAACGAUCCUUUCA
rnacentral:lncRNA from 1 species